UACGGAGGGAGCUAGCGUUGUUCGGAAUUACUGGGCGUAAAGCGCGUGUAGGUGGCGAUGUAAGUCGGGUGUGAAAUCCCUCGGCUCAACCGAGGAAGUGCACUCGAUACUGUGUCGCUUGAGUGUUGGAGGGGAUGGCGGAAUUCCCGGUGUAGAGGUGAAAUUCGUAGAUAUCGGGAGGAACACCUGUGGCGAAGGCGGCCAUCUGGACAACUACUGACACUGAGACGCGAAAGCGUGGGGAGCGAACAGG
rnacentral:rRNA from 1 species